UGGUGGAGUGAUUUGUCUGGUUAAUUCCGUUAACGAACGAGACCUCGACCUGCUAAAUAGUUCGACAAAUUCUUCGGGAUUUGUACGUGACUUCUUAGAGGGACUAUCGGUGGUUAGCCGAUGGAAGUUCGAGGCAAUAACA
rnacentral:rRNA from 1 species